CGCUCCGCGGCAUGUGGGAUCCUCCCAGACCGGGGCGCGAACCCGGUUCCCCUGCAUCGGCAGGCGGACGCGCAACCACUGCGCCACCAGGGAAGCCCUGCUCUUACUUUUUUUAAACCUGUUUUUCUAAACACAAUGAAACACUUUUGCUAGCAUGGACCAAAGAUGAGAUUUCUAAGGAAUCCUUUUCUUACCCACUGAAAUAUUCUUUUUUUCUGUUGAUAUACUGAUUCUUCUACCUAGAAUGCCUUUCUAAUUAGUAGGUGUUGGGCUUUGUCUCUAUAGAGAAGUAAAUAAAUGAAUCAUUAAUUUGACAGACUACAUCAGUUCUGUGACUGUCCUGCAGAAAUGUCAACCCUUCCAUGGAGAUGUGCACUUUCUUUUUGAGACUUUCUACUUACUGAGACAUGUUGAUUAACACUACUUUGUUAAUUGCUCCUCAGAAGCCUAUUAGAAGACAUUAAUAAGAGCUGAUAUUUGUAAAGCUUUAUAGUUCACAAAGUAAUUCCUACAUUUAAAAUUUUACUGAAUACCACAGCAGUCUUGAGGAGUAGGUCUUAUUAUUGCUAUCUCUAUUCAUCCAUAAGCAUGGACAAGAUAUUCCUCAAUAAAACCAUUUACGAAUUGGCUCAGCCCUCAAAAUUCUGUGCUGUGGUUUGUAGCAACCAUAAAUGAACCCUGCAUGUCAGGGUGAUCUAGCUGCCUGAUCCAUCCCCAUUUUGUAUUCUUUCUUACUCCUUUUCCUACUAGACUAAUUUCAAUAAGAUUUUCAUUCCAUUCAUGGUCUCUGAGUGUACCAUGUCACCUAUGCAGUCCUUAAUUUAAUUCCACCAGCCUCAGUGAGACAACUAAAACAAGACCUAGAGAGAAAGAAUUCAACUUAAGCCAGUGCUCCUUUUUUUUGAAUAAUAAAAUAUAUAUUAUUUGUAGUACCCAUUUAAAGGCAUCAGGCUGUAGUUCUCAUGCUUAAACCACGUGUUCAUCUCCUUGACAUAUAACCAGUCAGAGAUAGAUGAAGGAAGGGCUUUCGGAGAAAGAAUGCAAAGCGGGUAACAUACACCACAUCCCAAGGAUAGCCGUCAUCCCAAACCCGAUUCAUGACCCAGGAACCAUUUCUGGUGCUGAUAAUGACCUGGUGGGGGAGGCAACAUAGAUUUCAACAUCACUCUUUAAGUAUUGAGCAAAUACAACACAAGUCUAUGGACAUCUCCAUACAUUUCCCUUAAUAUCCAGGUAGGAGCACUUUUAAAGAGGUGGGUCAAAAUGAAUAGUCCAUGAUUGAAACUAGAUAGAGGCAGAACUACCGUCUCUCUCUCCACCCCAGAAGGUGAGUGCAUAGGUGUUGAAAGAACGACAAAGUGACAUCUUGGAAUAAGAGGGCUCUGUAUUCAACUGUGACAAGUUUACUCUUUGCAGACUUAUAGGACUAAGAUGGUACGUCUAAUAAAGGUCAGUCAAUCCAGUGAGCCCCAAUGGUGGUGGGUGGUAGUAGUUGCUGGGUUGAGUGGGGGAAAUGCAGCUAAAUCCCUAGCUGAAAUUAGGUUGAGGAGAUGCCAAGGAUUUAAUUCUGUUAUCUGUGCCUGGUCUCCUUCUCCAGUCCUCCCUGCACACCCACUCCAGGACCUGUGCUAGACAUUCCAAACUGUGGCAGCUGCCUCAGCCUGAGACAAGCCUGGCUGCUUGUCUAUUUUAUCAUUUUUGUGACAACCCAAGGGAAUUUGAGUUUAAAAAAUCCUGAGGUAUUUUUUAAACAUCCAUUUAAGAAUUUAUUUAUUGAACACCUAUUUCCUUAAAAAUAUUUUAAGUACUUCUGGGUUUACUGGUCAUGUAUGAUUCAUCGUGGAGUCCUCUGGGAAGCCUUCUUUGACAACUUCAUCCAGGCUAAGCUCGAUUCUCUAUUCACGGUGCUGCCACUGCCACGCCUAAUAUCACUGGUCUCAUUGCCUUCUUUUGUGAUGAUCUGUGUACCUGUCAUUCUACUUCCACCUAUCUAUUGCUCCUUGAAGUUAAGAAGUGGUCUGACUUAUUUCUGUGUUUAUUUCUAGUCUGACGCAGUGCUGACACAUAAAAAGUGCCUGAUAUUUGUUGAGCACUGGCUGUUAAAUGGGUAAACAACAGUAAGACCUAAAUCUUGUGUAUCUUCCAGAACUUCAGAGUGUAUUUCUGUGGAGAAAAUAAUUAUGUGCUCUUCUGGUCAUUGAGAAUUAUAUGGAAUGGCAUCAAAAUAGGAGUCACUGUGAAUCUUCACAUCUCACAAGGAAAAUUGCUGACUGGGGAUAAAAAUUCACAGAUGUGCUGCCUUGAAAGUACAUCUAAAAGCUGGCAGCCUCUCUUUCCCCAUAUUCUGAAGGAACUUUCAUGAAAUGAAGGAAAAGUAUGGAAUGUUACAUUGCUCCUGGAUUCAAGGCAUCUAUUUUCCUCCAGCCCAACAACCCCAAAUGAAAGGAUUGUGUCUCUGAUGGGCUGCCUCAGGCCUCAGUGUUUCCUCUUACAUGACAAAAGCGUCCUCUACUCAUGGUUGCUGUAUUUCUCAUAAUGGCAAAGCUCAGAGAUUUAAAAUUUUUUAAAACUUCACUUGGAAAUUUCUGCUAAGGUCAGAAAAAGGGUGAAGGCUCAUGCUUGGAAGGUUCUCAUGUUUGAGUCUGUACCGUUCACUCAUAGCUGGUAACUUUUGUUGAUGGUUGUGAGAAGGAGCUUUCUCAGCUGCCCACUGAAAAGGAGGGCUGAGCUGCGGGUUGCCGAAUGGUUAAAAAAAAUGUAAGAUUCUGCUCCAGGAAACAAAGGUGAUAAGACCUCGCAUUAUUUCCAUCGUUAAAGAAUCCCUGCUCUUUCGUCCCUGGACUCCAGCCAAUUGUAACAUGAGGAGAGAAGAGUACGUGACCUACAGCUCCUUGGAAUUUUCCCUAAAAGGAUGUUCUCCAAACAAAGGAAAACAGAAGUAUUAUAUAACAACAGACAAUUGCUCCAGAGAGCUCACAUUUUCAUUAUUUCAGUAAGUUGGUGGUUUGAGCCAGUACGGAGGAAAUUAAGCUCAGACUCUGCCUCUGGCUGACAGAGCUUGUCCUAGACCUAGAUGCCAAGCAGCUAUGGGGCACAUUAUCACUGUCUGUCUUGGGUUAUAACUGUCCAUCUCCCAUCAUCCCCACUAGAACAUAAGGCACUUGAGGGCUAAUUCAAGACUACUGUGCAUGCAUUUUAGCAGUCUGCCUUGAUGGUCUUUGAUAUUCCAUCUCUGCUUAUCAAGUCCCAUUUUUGCUUGUCUAGAUAUACCCUCAGUGUCCAGCUUAAAAGCUGUCUCCCUUCUUAUGCCUUUGCUUGUCUUCCCUCCCACCAAUUGGAAGUAAUAACACCAAGCUCUAAUUGUCUUUACUGCCCUAAUCAUACUCUGUCCUAUUCAAUUGUAUUAUGAUUAUUCUAAUACUUCUUUUCUCUCUGCUUUUAGAAUACUGUCUGCCUGCUGUACUUCUUAUAUGCAGCUAUGCCUAACA